CAAGUACUCCCUCCGUCCGGAAAUACUUGUUAUCAAAAUAAAUAAAUAAAGAUGUAUCUAAAACUAAAAUAUAUCUAGAUACAUCCCCAUUUAUCUAGUUUGGUGACAAGUAUUUUUGGAUGGAGGGAGUAUAUC
rfam:Triticum aestivum genome assembly, contig: Triticum_aestivum_CS42_TGACv1_scaffold_148119_2BS